rnacentral:rRNA from 1 species
UAGGGAAUAUUAGUAAUGGGCGAAAGCCUGAUCUAGCAACACCGCGUGUGCGAAGAAGGCCUUCGGGUUGUAACGUUCUGUUGUCCUGGAACAAGAGUGAUCGUCGAAUAGGCGGUCACGAUGAGGGUACAGGAAGAGGAAGCACCGGCUAAUUCCGUGCCAGCAGCUGCGGUAAUACGGAAGGUGCAAGCGUUAGUCGGAAUUACUGGGCGUAAAGGGUGCGUAGGCGGUGAUAUAAGUCGGAUGUGAAAUUCCAAGGCUCAACCUUGGAGCUGCAUCCGAGACUGUACCACUAGAGGAAUGGCGGAGAGAAUGGAAUUCCAUAUGUAGCGGUGAAAUGCGUAGAUAUAUGGAAGAACACCCGUGGCGAAAGCGGUUCUCUAGCCUUCUCCUGACGCUGAGGCACGAAAGCAAGGGGAGCAAACA